rnacentral:rRNA from 1 species
GAUUUAAAUUGCCGCGGUAUUCUGACCGUGCAAAGGUAGCAUAAUAAUUAGUUUUUUUAUUGAAAGCUGGAAUGAAUGAUUGGACGAGAAAACAACUGUCUCUUUAAAAAUUUUUGUUUAAUUUAACUUUUAAGUAAGAAGGCUUAGAUAUUUAUUAAAGACGAGAAGACCCUAUAGAGUUUUAUAUUUAUUGAGUAAUAAUUUAUUUGGAAUUUUUUAUUUUUUUAUUUUUUAAUUAUUUGGUUGGGGUGACUAAAAGAUUUAUUAAACUCUUUUAAUUUUGUUAUCAUUGAUUUGUGAAUUGAUUAUCUAGAUUUUUUAAAUUUAAGAUAAAUUACCUUAGGGAUAACAGCGUAAUUUCUUUUUAGAGUUCUUAUCAAUAAAGAAGUUUGCGACCUCGAUGUUG